GCCGGUGUGGUGGAAUUGGCAGACGCGACGGACUCAAAAUCCGUUGGGGGCAACCUCGUGGGAGUUCGACCCUCCCCACCGGCACCA
rnacentral:tRNA from 2 species